AUACGGAGGAUCCGAGCGUUAUCCGGAUUUAUUGGGUUUAAAGGGUGCGCAGGCGGCCAUUUAAGUCAGCGGUUAAAUCGUGGGGCUCAACCCCAUUCUGCCGUUGAUACUGGGUGGCUUGAUUGCGGUCGAGGUUGGCGGAAUUCGUUGUGUAGCGGUGAAAUGCAUAGAUAUGACGAAGAACACCGAUUGCGUAGGCAGCUGACCAGACCGCAAAUGACGCUCAUGCACGAAAGUGCGGGGAUCGAACAGGAUUAGAUACCCUGGUAGUCCACGCAGUAAACGAUGAUUACUAGGAGUUUGCGAUACAAUGUAAGCUCUACAGCGAAAGCGUUAAGUAAUCCACCUGGGGAGUACGCCGGCAACGGUGAAACUCAAAGGAAUUGGCGGGG
rnacentral:rRNA from 1 species